rnacentral:misc_RNA from 1 species
GAUGAAGAACGUAGCGAAAUGCGAUACGUAAUGUGAAUUGCAGAAUUCAGUGAAUCAUCGAAUCUUUGAACGCACAUUGCGCCCGCCAGCACUCUGGCGGGCAUGCCUGUUCGAGCGUCAUUUCAACCAUCAAGCCCCAGGCUUGCGUUGGAGCCCUGCGGCUGCCGCAGCCUCCUAAAAGCAGUGGCGGGCUCGCUAUCACACCGAGUGCAGUAGUUUACUCUUCGCUCAGGGCGUGCAGCGGGUUCCGGCCGUGAAACCCCCUACUUUUAAAGGUUGACCUCGGAUCAGGUAGGAAUACCCGCUGAACUUAAGCAUAUCAAUAAGCGGAGGA